rnacentral:rRNA from 1 species
GCUUGUCUCAAAGAUUAAGCCAUGCAUGUCUAAGUGUAAAUACGUCUACACUGUGAAACUGCGAAUGGCUCAUUAAAUCAGUUAUCGUUUAUUUGAUGAUCUCUUGUUACAUGGAUAACCGUAGUAAUUCUAGAGCUAAUACAUGCGUCAAGCCCCGACUCACGAAGGGGUGUAUUUAUUAGAUACUAAACCAGUGUCGCAAGACAUUGUGGUGAAUCACAGUAACUGAUCGAAUCGGCGCGCAAGCGGCGAUAAAUCAUUCAAGUUUCUGCCCUAUCAGCUUUCGAUGGUAGUGUAUUGGACUACCAUGGCAGUCACGGGUAACGGAGAAUUAGGGUUCGGUUCCGGAGAGGGAGCCUGAGAAACGGCUACCACAUCUAAGGAAGGCAGCAGG